AAUGCUUCUUGGCUUUUUGGCUCAGGUCAAGCAGAGAAUCUGCUUUUAUCUGCUAAUAUCUGCUAAGUUCUCCACCCAAGGACAAUUAGCAAGGGGAUUUCUGGAGCAAGGAGAUGGGAGAAAAGCUUGCUUUACCUACCCACUUCACACACUGACCUGGUACUGUAGACUCUCAGGUACUGCAGAAUUUUA
ensembl:snRNA U2 U2 spliceosomal RNA